rnacentral:rRNA from 1 species
GACGAACGCUGGCGGCGUGCUUAACACAUGCAAGUCGAACGGAAAGGCCCUGCUUUUGUGGGGUGCUCGAGUGGCGAACGGGUGAGUAACACGUGAGUAACCUGCCCUUGACUUUGGGAUAACUUCAGGAAACUGGGGCUAAUACCGGAUAGGAGCUCCUGCUGCAUGGUGGGGGUUGGAAAGUUUCGGCGGUUGGGGAUGGACUCGCGGCUUAUCAGCUUGUUGGUGGGGUAGUGGCUUACCAAGGCUUUGACGGGUAGCCGGCCUGAGAGGGUGACCGGCCAAAUGGGAACGGGAAUACGGCCAGGCCCCCUACGGGGGGCAGAGGUGGGAAAUAUGGCACAUGGGGCGAAGGCCGAAGGCGGCAACGCGGCUGGGGGAAUGACGGCCUUCGGGUGGUAAACGGCUUCCGCCGGGAACGAGGGGGGGGGAACGGAAAUGGUUAAAGAGGCACCGGUAAAUUAGUU